AGGGCUGUAGCUGAUUGGCAGAGCAUCUAUCUGCUUUGCAUGCAGAAGAUUCAAAGUUCAAUUCUUGGCAGUUCCA